rnacentral:pre_miRNA from 1 species
AAAGUACUCCCUCCGUCCCAAAAUUAUUGUCUUAGAUUUGUCUAGAUACGGAUGUAUCAAGUCACAUUUUAGUAUUAGAUACAUCCGUAUCUAGAUAAAUCUAAGACAAGAAAUUUGGGACAGAGGGAGUAGUUG